rnacentral:lncRNA from 1 species
CUCGGAUCUGCUCGAUCCCUCUACCAGCCUCUGAAUCAGUCGGCUGGAGGGAAUCAGCUAUCUUGGCAGCUGCAGCCAAGUUGAGGAGGGGUGUGCGGAAUAGCUCCACGUUGCUCCGCCGAGUGUGCCGACUAGCAGAACGGCGAGGUGGACGACGUGCGCCGGACGCUUCGCCGAUCUCGUGCUCGUUCCGACCAGCCUGACGGGGAUCUUCAUGGGAGUUGGCCAUGUGUACUUCUGCUGCGGGCUCGUGACCCGCAUACUCGGAAGGAAACUCAGUCAGAAC